rnacentral:rRNA from 1 species
AACGUAGGAGACAAACGUUAUCCGGAGUUACUGGGCGUAAAGGGCGUGUAGGUGGUAGAGUAAGUCUGGCGUGAAAUUUUUCGGCUUAACCGGGAAAGGUCGUCGGAUACUGCUUAACUAGAGGACGGUAGAGGCGUGUGGAAUUCCGGGUGUAGUGGUGAAAUGCGUAGAUAUCGGGAGGAACACCAGUGGCGAAGGCGACUACCUGGCCUGUUUCUUGACGCUGAGGCGCGAAAGCUAGGGGAGCAAACGGG